GAUGAACGCUGGCGGCGUGCCUAAUACAUGCAAGUCGAGCGAACGGACGAGAAGCUUGCUUCUCUGAUGUUAGUGGCGGACGGGUGAGUAACACGUGGAUAACCUACCUAUAAGACUGGGAUAACUUCGGGAAACCGGAGCUAAUACCGGAUAAUAUUUUGAACCGCAUGGUUCAAAAGUGAAAGACGGUCUUGCUGUCACUUAUAGAUGGAUCCGCGCUGCAUUAGCUAGUUGGUAAGGUAACGGCUUACCAAGGCAACGAUGCAUAGCCGACCUGAGAGGGUGAUCGGCCACACUGGAACUGAGACACGGUCCAGACUCCUACGGGAGGCAGCAGUAGGGAAUCUUCCGCAAUGGGCGAAAGCCUGACGGAGCAACGCCGCGUGAGUGAUGAAGGUCUUCGGAUCGUAAAACUCUGUUAUUAGUGAAGAACAUAUGUGUAAGUAACUGUGCACAUCUUGACGGUACCUAAUCAGAAAGCCACGGCUAACUACGUG
rnacentral:rRNA from 1 species